rnacentral:misc_RNA from 1 species
UUCAGGCUUUGUGGACAGAACAGUUAAAAUUUUUAAUUUCCUACAGAAUGGGUGAAGCAGCAAGGUUAGGAAGAGACUAAUACAAGAGCAAAUCAAACAAGUGCUUACAUUAUAUGUUCCAAGUACAAAUUCGAUUUAUGACCACAAGUAUAAGAUUACUUGUUAUCAUCAUUUCCGCUAAUAGUCUACUAUUACUAGAUUCACUAUUACUGGCACUACUACAUACCGGCAGUAGCUCAUUGCCAGGCAGUUGUCCCUUAAAGAGUAGUCCCAAUGGUACCCACAAAUCUAAACAUAUGCUCUUAGAAAGCAAAGCAAAGUUCUUUAUAUAACCAUCUCUUUAUAGGAUAAAAAAAAGAGCAGAAAAAUAAUACCCAUACGGAUAAAGCUGCUGGUGAUAAUGAGCCCACAUCACAUAGCUUCAAUGCAAGCUUCUCCUUGUUCAUAUUUUACCUCUCUUUCACUAGCCUGCACCUGAAUCAGCUGGCGGUGCUUCUUGUGGCGUUGAUGUUGCCUUUGGUUUAGGCCUUUUUCGCUUCUUCUCAUAGCUAACCCCUCUUGCUUUUGCCUGAAAAUCCCUAACCUCCCUCAAGUAAAUCCUCACUGCCCUUGCACCAAAUGGGUUCCCUUCAGGCCUUCCUCCGUGCUCCUCAUAGGCUGCUCUGAGUCGUCCGAUCAGUGCGUCGAGGCUUCCCCAAGCCUGGCGGAGAGGGCAUGGACAGGGAGCUGGUGGGUUAGGUAGGCCAAAGAAUGGACAAGUUUGAUUAUGGACUUUGGUCUUGCCAAAUUGAUCAAGGUAUCUAAGGAAUUCAAGGACAUGGGCACCACUGCACAUGGGAAGCGAAAGAGGUGGCCUGUGAUUCCUAAGGUACUGGCAGAAAGUGUUCCAGUCUCUGCGCUUCUGGUUCUCAUAGCGACUCGGAGUGGAAGAUGGGGAAGAGGCUGCGGUUGGCGUGGUGGUUGUAGUGGAAGUGGUAGAGGAGGUGAUCGAGACACCCAUUAUUGGGCUUGAAAAGGUUGGGUUUGCUGAAGAGGAGGCCAAAUCCAUGUCGAAAGAUGAUAUAGGAGAUGGGAUUAGGGUUUUCCUGUUGUCUUUAUCAGGAUCUUGCUGGAAGAUUUGUUUUUGCUGUAGGGUUGUCCUGCUUCUAGCUGCAGCUCUUCUUCUUGGGUCUUAACUACA